rnacentral:rRNA from 1 species
AGCGAACGCUGGCGGCAGGCCUAACACAUGCCAGUCGAACGAACCUUUCGGGGUUAGUGGCGGACGGGUGAGUAACACGUGGGAACGUGCCUUUAGGUUCGGAAUAACUCAGGGAAACUUGUGCUAAUACCGAAUGUGCCCUUCGGGGGAAAGAUUAAUCGCCUUUAGAGCGGCCCGCGUCUGAUUAGCUAGUUGGUUGAGGUAAUGGCUCACCAAGGCGACGAUCAGUAGCUGGCCUGAGAGGAUGAUCAGCCACAUUGGGACUGAGACACGGCCCAAACUCCUACGGGAGGCAGCAGUGGGGAAUCUUGCGCAAUGGGCGAAAGCCUGACGCAGCCAUGCCGCGUGAAUGAUGAAGGUCUUAGGAUUGUAAAAUUCUUUCACCGGGGACGAUAAUGACGGUACCCGGAGAAGAAGCCCCGGCUAACUUCGUG